ensembl:snRNA
CUGCUGAAUGAAGGGAAAGAAGGUUGGCAUAUGCCUUGACAGGGAUGAAGAGGCCCUGGGGCAUGACAACACGCACAGGGUUAAGGCACUGCCACCUACUUCUGGCAUCUAACCCUCGUUUUUU